rnacentral:rRNA from 1 species
GACGAACGCUGGCGGCGUGCUUAACACAUGCAAGUCGAACGGAAAGGCCCUGCUUUUGUGGGGUGCUCGAGUGGCGAACGGGUGAGAAACACGUGAGUAACCUGCCCUUGACUUUGGGAUAACUUCAGGAAACUGGGGCUAAUACCGGAUAGGAGCUCCUGCUGCAUGGUGGGGGUUGGAAAGUUUCGGCGGUUGGGGAUGGACUCGUGGCUUAUUAGCUUGUUGGUGGGGUAGUGGCUUACCAAGGCUUUGACGGGUAGCCGGCCUGCGAGGGUGACCGGCCACAUUGGGACUAAGAUACGACCCCGACUCCUACGGGUCGCAACAGUAGGGAAUAUUGCCCAAUGGGCGGAACCCUGAUGCAGCAACGCCGCGUCCGGGAUGACGGCCUUCGGGUUGUAAACCGCUUUCGCCUGUGACGAAGCGUGAGUGACGGUAAUGGGUAAAGAAGCACCGGCUAACUACGUG